AAUUAGACGAGAGAGCUUCCUUCAGUCCACUCACGGGUGUCAUGUAGGGUUCAAUUAGCUGCUGACUCAUUCAUCCAAAUCCUCUAAUUAAAAACAGUUUUAAUUAGCAGUAACUGAGUGAAUGAAGCGGGAGACUUAUUGAAUCUUAAGCUUCCUGUAUUUGGACUGAAGGGAGCUCCCUUAGGUUGAGUU
rfam:Daucus carota subsp. sativus cultivar DH1 chromosome 2, whole genome shotgun sequence.